AUUUUUUUUCCCUCGUAUUUCUUUCAUUCUUAUUUACACUCUAUGAAACAGCCCAAAAGCCUUCCUCGAUAUACUGAAUAGAGCAGACAUGAACAAAACCAUCACAAUCUUCUUUGAUGCCAGUAUCCUAAGGUUUAUUCUCAGACCGUGCUUCCUCAUUAACCUCACUGUUGUAGCACCCAAUGCAAUGAACCAAGAACCGAUAGCACACAACACCAUCUUCAUCGUCUCUGAGGGCCCACAUACAUUUUCCACCUCACUUGAGACCUCCACAUAUGACCAUUUAGGACCGCGAUCACUGUUCUGGGCUUGAUUCAGCCCUAGAUUCUUAUUCAGCCAGCUUGACAACCAGACAAGCAAUUUUGCUAGCCAUGCAACCUCAUCAUCAGAAAUGGGGCGCUUCAUCCAGUCACCCUUAUAUUUUACAUCAGCCAAUGCCUGGUUGCCAACCCUUCUGGGCUUGAAUAUUUCAUCUCGUAAUUGCUCACGCUGUUUUUUUUGGGGUGUAAAUGAAAUUGGUUUUACAGUACAACCACCAAACAAGCAGCUCACCUGUGCCUUCAAAGAAUCUAUAAGCUGCAGGUUGUGUGCAAUGUUAUCACUAAAAUUAGCUUGUAACUCAGCUUCCGCGCGCAAUAUAAACAACUGAAGGAGUUGUUGUCCACCAUCUUCCCCAUCACUAAAGAGUCUUAAAUCUUUGUUCCAAUUCUCAUGCAAGAAAGAUCCAUCAGCAUCACUCUCACUUAAACCAUCCUCCCAGUCCUCGCACCAUAAACAAAUAAUAGAAGAAACACUCAAUAAAGUGAGUUUUAUUCUCAGAUCUAUAGCAAUAUAUAAGGGACACACUGACAUAGCCACAUUAGCAAGAUUAACUGUAGGACUCAUUAAUCUUUAAAUAACCAAAAUAGCGCAUGGCAUCUGUGGUUCAGAACUGAAGAGACAUUCCAUUUAUCAAUAAUUUUCAAAGUAAACAUGUAAUUAACUUCUAAAGCUUGAUCAGACCCUCAAUUGUUUACUGAAAAUUAAACAAAAAGGAAAGGAAGCAUAACAACAGCAGCAGCAGAGGUAAAAGUGCCCACAUGCUGAGGCAAAAACAAAAACACACACAAAGAUCUACCUGCAACUGUUCACGAAUCAAAGGGACACAUCUAUAUAAGCUGUUAAGCAUCAAUUUGCCUGAUCCAGCUUGUUUGGAAUGAAAAACAGCAUCCAUGUUCUUUAUUAGAUCAGUCAACUCUUUGGAUGAUGUCAGUAUUUUCAUAACCUGCAAUACCAUCUGGACUAUCAGUUCUGGAUCAGUAUGAAGAAACCUGUGCGCAAACCCAAUGAAAUGCAUAAUUAAAGAACUGUAGUACAAGUAAUUAGAUAGCACAUAAUCCUGCCACAAAGAUGAAAACCCAUCCUCCUCAAUCCUCUCGUUUUCCUUCUUCAAAUCCUUCCCCAACCCAUCCACAAUUGCAUCAAGCUUUACAAAAUCAUCUAAACCAACCUUCCAAGGCUCCAAAAAACUAAUCCAAACCAAAAACACCUGUGAAGCAUUCUUUAUAGAAGUACCCAGUGGACAAAAGAGAAAUGUCCUCAAAACAAACCUAUACACUGGUCUCUGAAUCAACAAAUUCCAUGAGGCACCCACAUACAUAGAAUCAUUUACAGAUGCAGCAAAUUCCCUUGACUUCAAAUGAAAUGAACCUACAGAAGCCCUACUCCAUUUUGGCCUCUCCAUUCUGUCAGGGCCAUCUUUGAUCACAGUCGCACUCAAGUUCAAGUACUUAACCAGUAACUUCACUAUCUCAUCUAAAUUAGGAGUUGGUGGAGUCUCACCUAAAACAGACCUGAGUGGAAAUGACAAUCCAAAUGACUUGCAAACAUUAAGAGGCAAAGGAGAGAAAUCAUUGUCAACCAACCAAUAGUGCACCAAUGUAUCAACAAGAAACUCUGCUCUCAACAAAAUUGACCCAUCACUUCCAUCUCCAUAAUGCAAAAGCGAGCUACGAUUGGGCUGAUGUGAAUCCAAAUCACGUAUAGGCACAAAAGCAAGCAGAUAUGCAUAUAGAAGCCGCACAUACAGAUUAUGCUCAAAUUUCUGUUCAUUUCCGCGAUUAGAAUGCGAAAACCUAGGAAUUGACGAGGUCCAAGUCCAAUUUUCUAGUUUUAACUUGCUGGUUCGUUUUGUAGGUUUAUUGUUUAAAUUCUCGCUAUUGCCUUUGCAAAUUGGGUAAUAAGCGAACCAAAACAUGAAAUACUCAAAAACGUUUAACUGGACUUGGUAAUAAAUAGAGCCUUUAAUUGAUUCUUCCUUAAUUUUAUCUCUAAAAAGAGGGCAAAGAUUGUUUAAGACCUGACAAUCUCUCUCGCUUGAUAGCAUUAACCGGGCCCAUUCCGGCAACCGCUCGAUUGGGAAAACGUAUUUCACCAGCGAUUGACGAUCAACAGCAAAGAUUGACUGGAAAAUGACGCCAUUUGGUGAGAAGAGGCUGAAAACUCUAGAAGCGAGAUCGGAGUCGUUUGAUUGAAGGAUGAUAUCGAUCCAGCCACCGUUGGAUGACGAGAGCUGGGGUCCAUUAGGGGGCGAUACAGCGUCCCCGAAACCGUAUAGCUUGCAGAUUAAGGUCGGGAAGGUGAGGGAGAAGAAGUGACGAGACUGAUCGGGGGUGUGAGAGUGUAAGAAGGAAUGGAUGGAGGAGCAGACGGAGGAGAUCUGGGCGGAGGUGGAGGAAGAGAGGAUAGCGGAGGCAAGUUCUCGUGAUUUAGAGAGGGAAUUGACAGUGUAUGAGUGAGGGUGCAUGGUGUGUAAGCGGUGAGGGCGGGUAUAGGGAUUUGGUGUUCUAGGGUUUUGCUUGUUGCAGAGGAAAAGAAAAGGAUAAUAAAGGAGGGGUUUAG
rnacentral:misc_RNA from 1 species